rnacentral:rRNA from 1 species
UUAAGCGACUAAGCGUACACGGUGGAUGCCCUGGCAGUCAGAGGCGAUGAAGGACGUGCUAAUCUGCGAUAAGCGUCGGUAAGGUGAUAUGAACCGUUAUAACCGGCGAUUUCCGAAUGGGGAAACCCAGUGUGUUUCGACACACUAUCAUUAACUGAAUCCAUAGGUUAAUGAGGCGAACCGGGGGAACUGAAACAUCUAAGUACCCCGAGGAAAAGAAAUCAACCGAGAUUCCCCCAGUAGCGGCGAGCGAACGGGGAGGAGCCCAGAGCCUGAAUCAGUGUGUGUGUUAGUGGAAGCGUCUGGAAAGGCGCGCGAUACAGGGUGACAGCCCCGUACACAAAAAUGCACAUGCUGUGAGCUCGAUGAGUAGGGCGGGACACGUGGUAUCCUGUCUGAAUAUGGGGGGACCAUCCUCCAAGGCUAAAUACUCCUGACUGACCGAUAGUGAACCAGUACCGUGAGGGAAAGGCGAAAAGAACCCCGGCGAGGGGAGUGAAAAAGAACCUGAAACCGUGUACGUACAAGCAGUGGGAGCCUCUUUAUGGGGUGACUGCGUACCUUUUGUAUAAUGGGUCAGCGACUUAUAUUCUGUAGCAAGGUUAACCGAAUAGGGGAGCCGAAGGGAAACCGAGUCUUAACUGGGCGUUAAGUUGCAGGGUAUAGACCCGAAACCCGGUGAUCUAGCCAUGGGCAGGUUGAAGGUUGGGUAACACUAACUGGAGGACCGAACCGACUAAUGUUGAAAAAUUAGCGGAUGACUUGUGGCUGGGGGUGAAAGGCCAAUCAAACCGGGAGAUAGCUGGUUCUCCCCGAAAGCUAUUUAGGUAGCGCCUCGUGAACUCAUCUCCGGGGGUAGAGCACUGUUUCGGCAAGGGGGUCAUCCCGACUUACCAACCCGAUGCAAACUGCGAAUACCGGAGAAUGUUAUCACGGGAGACACACGGCGGGUGCUAACGUCCGUCGUGAAGAGGGAAACAACCCAGACCGCCAGCUAAGGUCCCAAAGUCAUGGUUAAGUGGGAAACGAUGUGGGAAGGCCCAGACAGCCAGGAUGUUGGCUUAGAAGCAGCCAUCAUUUAAAGAAAGCGUAAUAGCUCACUGGUCGAGUCGGCCUGCGCGGAAGAUGUAACGGGGCUAAACCAUGCACCGAAGCUGCGGCAGCGACGCUUAUGCGUUGUUGGGUAGGGGAGCGUUCUGUAAGCCUGUGAAGGUGUACUGUGAGGUAUGCUGGAGGUAUCAGAAGUGCGAAUGCUGACAUAAGUAACGAUAAAGCGGGUGAAAAGCCCGCUCGCCGGAAGACCAAGGGUUCCUGUCCAACGUUAAUCGGGGCAGGGUGAGUCGACCCCUAAGGCGAGGCCGAAAGGCGUAGUCGAUGGGAAACAGGUUAAUAUUCCUGUACUUGGUGUUACUGCGAAGGGGGGACGGAGAAGGCUAUGUUGGCCGGGCGACGGUUGUCCCGGUUUAAGCGUGUAGGCUGGUUUUCCAGGCAAAUCCGGAAAAUCAAGGCUGAGGCGUGAUGACGAGGCACUACGGUGCUGAAGCAACAAAUGCCCUGCUUCCAGGAAAAGCCUCUAAGCAUCAGGUAACAUCAAAUCGUACCCCAAACCGACACAGGUGGUCAGGUAGAGAAUACCAAGGCGCUUGAGAGAACUCGGGUGAAGGAACUAGGCAAAAUGGUGCCGUAACUUCGGGAGAAGGCACGCUGAUAUGUAGGUGAAGCGACUUGCUCGUGGAGCUGAAAUCAGUCGAAGAUACCAGCUGGCUGCAACUGUUUAUUAAAAACACAGCACUGUGCAAACACGAAAGUGGACGUAUACGGUGUGACGCCUGCCCGGUGCCGGAAGGUUAAUUGAUGGGGUCAGCGCAAGCGAAGCUCUUGAUCGAAGCCCCGGUAAACGGCGGCCGUAACUAUAACGGUCCUAAGGUAGCGAAAUUCCUUGUCGGGUAAGUUCCGACCUGCACGAAUGGCGUAAUGAUGGCCAGGCUGUCUCCACCCGAGACUCAGUGAAAUUGAACUCGCUGUGAAGAUGCAGUGUACCCGCGGCAAGACGGAAAGACCCCGUGAACCUUUACUAUAGCUUGACACUGAACAUUGAGCCUUGAUGUGUAGGAUAGGUGGGAGGCUUUGAAGUGUGGACGCCAGUCUGCAUGGAGCCGACCUUGAAAUACCACCCUUUAAUGUUUGAUGUUCUAACGUUGACCCGUAAUCCGGGUUGCGGACAGUGUCUGGUGGGUAGUUUGACUGGGGCGGUCUCCUCCUAAAGAGUAACGGAGGAGCACGAAGGUUGGCUAAUCCUGGUCGGACAUCAGGAGGUUAGUGCAAUGGCAUAAGCCAGCUUGACUGCGAGCGUGACGGCGCGAGCAGGUGCGAAAGCAGGUCAUAGUGAUCCGGUGGUUCUGAAUGGAAGGGCCAUCGCUCAACGGAUAAAAGGUACUCCGGGGAUAACAGGCUGAUACCGCCCAAGAGUUCAUAUCGACGGCGGUGUUUGGCACCUCGAUGUCGGCUCAUCACAUCCUGGGGCUGAAGUAGGUCCCAAGGGUAUGGCUGUUCGCCAUUUAAAGUGGUACGCGAGCUGGGUUUAGAACGUCGUGAGACAGUUCGGUCCCUAUCUGCCGUGGGCGCUGGAGAACUGAGGGGGGCUGCUCCUAGUACGAGAGGACCGGAGUGGACGCAUCACUGGUGUUCGGGUUGUCAUGCCAAUGGCACUGCCCGGUAGCUAAAUGCGGAAGAGAUAAGUGCUGAAAGCAUCUAAGCACGAAACUUGCCCCGAGAUGAGUUCUCCCUGACUCCUUGAGAGUCCUGAAGGAACGUUGAAGACGACGACGUUGAUAGGCCGGGUGUGUAAGCGCAGCGAUGCGUUGAGCUAACCGGUACUAAUGAACCGUGAGGCUUAACCUU